UCACGCUGUGGUGCCGGCCUACAACCCC
rnacentral:piRNA from 1 species